AGCGAACGCUGGCGGCAGGCCUAACACAUGCAAGUCGAGCGGCCGUAGCAAUACGGCAGCGGCAGACGGGAGAGUAACACGUGGGAACGUACCUUUCAGUUCGGAACAACCAAGGGGAAACUUUGGCUAAUACCGGGAUACGCCCGUAAGGGGAAAGAUUUAUCGCUGAAAGAUCGGCCCG
rnacentral:rRNA from 1 species